rnacentral:tRNA from 1 species
UGGUGAUUAGCUUAGUGGUUAGGGCUUAGGACUUGUUAACGGAAGGUCCCGGGUUCGAAUCUCGCCAGAGGUAG